ensembl:lncRNA
UACAUUCCAGGCAGCAGUUUGGAAAAGUGUCACAUUUACGAGCUAGUCAUCGCGCCGAACAUCAACGCUAGCUGGCUAUCGUGAGUGACUGCUAAAAGCUAACUGGCUAUUGGACACAAGCAGAUUUACUGGAUUGGACCCCCUCGCUGCGGCCCGUAUGUUUGACACCCCUGCCCUAAGUGUUGUGCAAGUGAGUACAGGGGUACCAACCGGUUCUGCGGUGGAUGACUGGUUCAGGCGCGCGGAGGAGACAUGGGACGCCGCCCAUGUUCACCUCCAGCGGGCCGUGAUGCGCCAGAAAGCCAGCGAAGACCGUCACCGCAGUGAGGCCCCGGUGUUCGCACCGGCUCUCGACCCGGAACCUGCCCUUCCGCUGCCCUGCCAGAAGCUGGACCCGCGGUUUGUGGGGCCAUUUAAAGUCCUGAGUAGAGUGAACGAGGUUUGUUAUAGGUUACAGCUUCCCCCUGAUUACCGUAUUAACCCC